ensembl:lncRNA
GUUUUAGCACUGGAUCAAAGUAGAUGAUUCUGUGUGUGUCUGUUAAGUUUUGAGGUGUUCAACUGGAAAUGUAAAAUUAGUGAUAAAAUGUAGGGUUGACGCUUAGAAAAGAUUUCAGGGGUAGUUUUUCAAUGUGGGGAAUUAUAGUUCAGAAAUGUUUAUUGAGCAUCUAUCAGGUGCCAAACCCUAUAUUGAGUUCUGGCAAUACAGUAGGCAUGGUUCCUGAACUCAAGUUGGGGAUACAAGUUCUCAGAUAACUCCUCUAUAGUGAGACAAAUACUGGGGUGCAAGGAUGCAGAGCCGGAAGGAGAUAUUAGUUGCUGCUUGGGCUAAUAAUUUGGCUCUUUUUCAAACCAAUAUAUAUUUUAACAUUUUCUUUAAACCAAUAUCUUUAAAAGCAGGUACUCGACAUUUAUUUACAGAUGAGAUGGAGCUCUGCAUGGGGGUGGGUGGAGCUAGAGGUCAUCAGAUGUCAGCUCUCAGCUUCCACUCUUUUAUUCUGAGCAAUUCAGCUUUGCUCCCAGAUUUGCCUACCUCCCAGCACAGUGUUUCUCAGUGGAGGUUUUAUUAGCAUUUUGGGUAGGACAGUUCUUCUAUGUGUGGGCCUGUCCCUAUGCAUUAUAACUUCCCUGCCACCCACGUCAAUACUGCUCCCAGCCAUACUGACAUCAACAACAAAAAUGGCCACACCUAUUUUCGAAUGCAUAGAGUUGGGCUGGGGUUGGGGUGGUGGUGGUGGUGGCUGGAUUGAGAAUGUUUGCCUAUCACGUUCCUUGGGAGGACUAUCACCCACGCUAAUCUAUUUGUCCUAGUAUUUCUUUCUGUCUCAUAUAGUAUAUUCCCUGAGACAAGUCCUGAUAUAUGAAAUAUUGUCCGUAUCACAUUCGUAAUAUUUAGCACCCAAGUGAUAUUUCACUGCCCUCUGUAGAUUGACAACCAAGAGUCCACCUGACCUUUUUCACGUAGUUCCUGGGAUCACAUAGGAGGGAACUGAAUCUGGUCUUUGCAGGUUAUGGAAGUCUUCACAGAGGAAGCAGCCUCUAAGCUGAGACUUAAAAGACAAGUAGAUUAUUACCCAGGCAAGAAGGUAUACUCCAUACCAAGGGUAGAAAGGUUACAUUCAAAGAAACGAAGGUAGUUCUGUUUGAGGUGAAUAACAGAUGAGACUAGCAUGGGAAACAGGGACCCGUCCAUUAAGGAGCAUGUAAAUUGUGUUAAGUAAUUUGGAUUUUUUAUUGAGAACAAAAGGGAGCUAUUGAUGGAUUUUCAGCACAGGAGUAGCAUGAUCUUAUUUGUGCCUUAGAAAUAUCCUACUAGCUGCUGGUGGAGAAUGAAUUGGAGGCAGGUGGCAAGACUGGAGACGAGAUGGGAAAAUAGUUAGGAGACCCUUGCAGUAGUCAGGUGAGAGAAAAUGAUGCCCUGAAUUAACAUAUAGGGCCAGUAUCAACAUUCAGUGAUGGUGGUAUUUGAAAUUGUGAGUUGAGAUGAAUUCUCUUCAGGAAAGUAUGGAAUAGGCAGAAAAUGGGUCCCUAGAGAACCCCAACAUUUAGAGUGUGAGCAAAGGAAGAGAAUCCAGCAAAGGAAGCUAUGAAGGUGGGACCCAAUAUGAUAUGUGGAAAUGGAAUGCUGUGGCAGCCAUAGGAAUGUACCACUUGGGACUCCCUUCAAGGAAGCACCUGCUAUGAGAAGUGUAAUUAACUGAAGCCUCCAGCCACCAUGCCUUUGGGAUCCAUCACAGCAUUCAUUCAGAGGUCUCGCUUUCCCUCCUCAGAGGCUCCCAGCCAAUGACUGAGCACAGCCAGCCAUUCCUGCUGGUGCAGUUUCCUCUGCUGGGCUGUCUUUGUUCUGGGGCUCCCUGUUGGUCUGACUGAGCCUUCCUCAGAGCUCUCCUGCAUGCUGAGGCUUUUCAUACCCAGGCUUCCCUUCUUUCCUUCCCUUCACAGGUAUUAAGACAUGCAUUGCAGUCUGAGACUCUUCCCUCCUCCUCCUGCUCCUUGUCCUCCAUAGCCUUCACAGGUGUUUCCACACACAAGUAUCUUGCACUUCCAAUUCAAUUUUACCAUCUGCUGAAGUAGGACAAUUGAUAUCAAUGAAGCAAAGGAGGAAGGAAUUUUAAGAAGAGAGUGAUCAACAGUGUUAAAUGCCAAAGAGAGACUGAGGAGGAGGGAGACAGAAAAGUGUCAACAGAUUUGUCAUUAAGGAGGUUUGAUGAGUUGAAGUCCCUUCAAGCUGGUUCCUGAGUCCUUUUGAUCAUUUUUUGGAGUAUUUCCUCACUCUCUGGGACAAGAAGAUAUUCCAGGAUCUCAUACUUUCCCUGCCCCAAGUGUAUAAUCAGCCUUUUCCCCAAGGAGCUCUGAUUCUUUUUGUUGGAGAAUGAUAUUAAAUAAUAUUUAGAAAC